UCUCGUCUCGAGCUUUUGUUCAUCUGUUUCCAGCCGCACCGCGGAGAACAGGAGCCAUUACGACUCACUACGGUCUUCAUCAGCAGUCACGCGUGUGUUCUCAUUACCUCUUGCAGGACGUGGAUACUAAAAUAGUUUCACAGUCGGACGUUUGGUGUUUAAACCUUCAUUUACUUACAAACUCAACAUGGAGAGCGAGAACAAAUACCUCCCGCAGCUGCUGGCGGAACGAGACACCCUGGACGCCUCGUUCACACACGCCACGAAACUUAUAUCCGCAGAAAUUGAAAGGGUCCAAAAUGGGGAGACCGAGAAAGACUCAGAAAGCUACCUGGACCUCUUUACGACGAAAAACAUCAAACUGAAGGAAAGGGUUCUCAUACCUGUCAAGCAGUACCCUAAGUUUAACUUUGUUGGAAAGAUCCUUGGACCACAGGGGAACACCAUCAAGAGACUGCAGGAAGAGACGGGCGCUAAGAUCUCUGUGCUGGGGAAAGGAUCCAUGAGGGACAAAACCAAGGAGGAUGAAUUGAGAAACAGUGGAGAGCCGAAGUAUGCACACUUGUCCAUGGAGCUUCAUGUGUUCAUCGAGGUGUUUGCUCCUGUUCCUGAGGCGUACAUGCGCAUGGCUCAUGCCAUGGAGGAGAUCAAAAAGUUCUUGUUCCCUGACAUGAUGGAUGAUAUUUGCCAGGAGCAGUUCAUGGAGAUGAAGUAUCUAAAUGGGGGUCAGGAACAUGGGGGCAGAGGUCGAGGAGGGCCACCCAUCAGAGGCCGUGGAGGUCUUCCUCCUCCUGGGGCACCCAGGGGUCGUGGUAUGCCCCCACGUGGAGGUGGCCGUGGUGGUCCCCCACGAGGUGGAGCCACAAGGGGAGCUCCUGCAGGUCGAGGUGGACCAUCAGCCCAGCCGCCUAGAGGUGCAGCUUCCAACCGUGCCCGUCCACCCGCCCAGGCUCAGCGGAUGCCCCCUCCAACAGCACCGCACCCUCCGGCCCAAGAGUCGUAUGAAGACUAUUCUUAUGACGAGAGCUACACAGAGCCAGGCUAUGAAUCCUAUGACAGCUACUACACCCAGCCACAAGCAGAACCAGAGUACUAUGAUUAUGGACACGGAGAGACACAAGAGGGGUAUGAAAACUACGCUCAAGAUGACUGGAACGGGACACAGCGUGCUGUUGGUGGUGGAAAAGCUCCCACUCAGAGACCGACUAAGCCUGGAUUCAGGGAAGCCCCUUAUGGACGAUACUAAGUCUGACUAGCGGAAAGUCACCCAACGCGUCGCCAUAACUGUCUCCCAUGGCAGCUCACACUUUAAGCUACCCGACAAAAGUUGUGAUGCCUGGAAAUUCCUGGAAAUGGAAAGUUUAAACAAGAGUAUCAGACCUCUCCCCAGGAAAAGACAAGUGUUUGUUUGCAGUGUAAGAGCAAUCUUACCUUUGAACACGAGCAGUCGUUAUGGAACCAUGGACGGUCUGACUGGACAGCUUCUGAAUGGGGUGGAAUGGCAAAAAUCGAUGGUCCUGUCAGCUAAAGUUUAAACCAGCAGCCUCUUAAAAGGGUUACUCUUGAGGUCUGGUGCUGUGUAUGUCUGCUCUCCAGUGGUUAUGAAAGUCAUUUCUCUGUACUGAAAAGUUUUACUGUUCACCUCAAGUGCUUUCUAAGCACACUUAACUUAAAAUUUUCAUCUUUAAAUUGACCUCUUCUGCUCAUGUUGGCCAAGAAAUCAUUUUAACAAGCUCGAAAAAUUCUGUCCGUGCUCUCUAAACGUCUACCUCAGACAAUCCUCCAGUGCUUUAUUCUGCAGGACAAGCAUGUCUUCCCCAGUUCUUUGCUCAGAGGAACGUACAUGCUAAUUUAGAGUUGUCCAGCCCCUAUCUCUUAGCAAAGAUUUGUCCUUUAAAUGCCAUGGUUUGUCAUGUUUGAAUGGGUUUAAGCUGCCGGAACUGUCUUUUCUAUCAUGAACCAAACGCAAAAAUCUCCUGGGGCUCGCAACAUAGUAAGUUGAUCUAAAUCAUACUAACAUUGUUACUUUAAGUUCUGGAUAAAGGUCUUUCUUGCCCUAAUUGAGAGCUUUCCAUAAAUUCAGCUUUUUCUAAUCCUUGCUGUGCAGAGUCUGAAUUCAGCACUGCAUGUAUAUGCGUCACUGUCAGUGUGUAUUGCUGUAGCUUUCAUCUUUUGCUCAUUUUCACCUCAGCACACGUACGAUUCGAGCCCGUCAUUCUGACCAAUUACUGCUGAUGACAGUGUGUCCGUCCCCCGCGGAGCCGCCACUGGUUGCCGACUGGCUAACAGGACUAAUGCCUUAUUGCAUUAGAGACAAAUCUGUCCUCUGCACAGAUUUUAAUAAGCAUCAGCCACUGCUCAAGUGGUGUCGAACAAUGGGUCCACGUGGUUAGAAGGUUGACCGAUGUUUAUGCAGGCUUCACCGUAAUGAGAAAUCGCAAAAGCAGAUAAUGGAAAUAUUUAUUUUCUGGACCGAUGCUAGGGGUUAAAGAACACAGUCUCAAGAAGGGAAUUUUCAACCCAACUGUGUGCACUAAAUGUGUCUGUUUACGGUCAUAUCUGUUUGCGUACGUGACUUGCUGCUUGGGAAAGGUGCAACGCAUGUGUUGUGUUCUGAAACAACACAUUGUGCAUACUGAAAAAGAAAGCAUGGCUUUACGAAUGCAAAUGAAAUGCUCACACCAAUGUCUGUCUGUCGUCUUGCAUGGCUAUUUUGUUGAUUUUACACCUAACCAGUGCACACACUCCAGGGAGUCAGGGUUUUGAGUGCAUGGGGAGGAGUUGUGAUGGUUUCUGGCUCGUGUCCUGGAGAACCAUGGCUGCUGGCCACCUCCUUCAGUGUCAAAUGCUGGUAAUAACUUAGCCUCCUAAAGGUCUCUCUCAAUGUGCUUUGAUGAAUAUAAAUUAAAUCCAUCCAUGUGGAAUCUGGCUUGAGUAAUCCGUAGCCCUCCAGGACAAAGAGUUGGACACCUCCACCUGUCACUAAAUAUUCCAUUGCAUGUUUUCCAGCAUCCACAUAAGCAGACACACCUAAAACAAUGUCAGCAAACCAUGGGGAUAUCUUGGGUUUAGUGAUGAAAUUGAUUAGAGAUGAGUGCCAGGAGUCUGUAUUCUUUUGCUUUCUUAAGGAGAUUGACGAGCCUGUAUUUCAAUGCAGCUAAACUGGAUUUAAGCUUAUUGAAGUGCUUGUCUUUCCGCAUAGCUGUUGCCCUUAUUUCUGUAGAAGAAAACUAAUGCCUUUGGAGCUGUGAAACCUUUCAGUCACUUGGGGGAGCGGACAGAAUUUUUCACUAUUGAAAGUUAUUCAAACUUUUUUGGAAGUUGGUGUAUUGAAGUGCACGUACAGCCUGCAAAUGAUUACUUAUGACUAAAAAAGUGAAUUCCUAAGAUCCUUGCAUAUGUUUUUAUCUCUUUUGUAAUGUCAAAAAUAACAAAUAAAUAUAUUCUAGACCUGG